GACGAACGCUGGCGGCGUGCUUAACACAUGCAAGUCGAACGGAAAGGCCCGGCUUUGGUGGGGUGCUCGAGUUGCGAACGGGUGAGUAACACGUGAGUAACCUGCCAUUGCCCUUGGGAUAACUUCAGGACGCUUGGGCUAAUACCGGCUAGGAUCUCCUGCUGCUUGGUGGGGGUUGGAAAGUUUCGGCGGUUGGGGAGGGACUCGCGUCUUAUCAGCUUGUUGGUGGGGUAGUGGCUUACCAAGGCUUGGACAGGUAGCCGGCCUGAGAGGGGCACCGGCCCAAUCGGGACUGGAAUACGGCCCAGACUACAACGGGAGGCAGGGGAGGAGAAGAUAGUACAGUGGGCGGAAGCAUGACGCAGCCAAGCCGCGUGGGGGAUGAGGGCAAUCGGGUUGUAUACCAAAUUCGUCUGUGACGAAGCGUGAAUGACGGUAACGGGAAAAGAAGCACCGGCUAACUCCGUG
rnacentral:rRNA from 1 species